GAAAGGCGUAGUCGAUGGGAAACAGGUUAAUAUUCCUGUACUUGGUGUUACUGCGAAGGGGGGACGGAGAAGGCUAUGUUAGCCGGGCGACGGUUGUCCCGGUUUAAGCAUGUAGGCUGAUUGUCCAGGCAAAUCCGGAUAAUCAAGGCUGAGGUGUGAUGACGAGGCACUACGGUGCUGAAGUAACAAAUGCCCUGCUUCCAGGAAAAGCCUCUAAGCAUCAGGUAACAUUAAAUCGUACCCCAAACCGACACAGGUGGUCAGGUAGAGAAUACCAAGGCGCUUGAGAGAACUCGGGUGAAGGAACUAGGCAAAAUGGUGCCGUAACUUCGGGAGAAGGCACGCUGGUGUGUAGGUGAAGUCCCUGCGGAUGGAGCUGAGACCAGUCGAAGAUACCAGCUGGCUGCAACUGUUUAUUAAAAACACAGCACUGUGCAAACACGAAAGUGGACGUAUACGGUGUGACGCCUGCCCGGUGCCGGAAGGUUAAUUGAUGGGGUUAUCCGUAAGGAGAAGCUCUUGAUCGAAGCCCCGGUAAACGGCGGCCGUAACUAUAACGGUCCUAAGGUAGCGAAAUUCCUUGUCGGGUAAGUUCCGACCUGCACGAAUGGCGUAAUGAUGGCCAGGCUGUCUCCACCCGAGACUCAGUGAAAUUGAACUCGCUGUGAAGAUGCAGUGUACCCGCGGCAAGACGGAAAGACCCCGUGAACCUUUACUAUAGCUUGACACUGAACAUUGAGCCUUGAUGUGUAGGAUAGGUGGGAGGCUUUGAAGCGUGGACGCCAGUCUGCGUGGAGCCAACCUUGAAAUACCACCCUUUAAUGUUUGAUGUUCUAACGUUGGCCCCUUACCGGGGUUGCGGACAGUGUCUGGUGGGUAGUUUGACUGGGGCGGUCUCCUCCCAAAGCGUAACGGAGGAGCACGAAGGUUAGCUAAUCCUGGUCGGACAUCAGGAGGUUAGUGCAAUGGCAUAAGCUAGCUUGACUGCGAGCGUGACGGCGCGAGCAGGUGCGAAAGCAGGUCAUAGUGAUCCGGUGGUUCUGAAUGGAAGGGCCAUCGCUCAACGGAUAAAAGGUACUCCGGGGAUAACAGGCUGAUACCGCCCAAGAGUUCAUAUCGACGGCGGUGUUUGGCACCUCGAUGUCGGCUCAUCACAUCCUGGGGCUGAAGUAGGUCCCAAGGGUAUGGCUGUUCGCCAUUUAAAGUGGUACGCGAGCUGGGUUUAGAACGUCGUGAGACAGUUCGGUCCCUAUCUGCCGUGGGCGCUGGAGAAUUGAGGGGGGCUGCUCCUAGUACGAGAGGACCGGAGUGGACGCAUCACUGGUGUUCGGGUUGUCAUGCCAAUGGCACUGCCCGGUAGCUAAAUGCGGAAGAGAUAAGUGCUGAAAGCAUCUAAGCACGAAACUUGCCCCGAGAUGAGUUCUCCCUGAGACUUUAAGUCUCCUGAAGGAACGUUGAAGACGACGACGUUGAUAGGCCGGGUGUGUAAGCGCAGCGAUGCGUUGAGCUAACCGGUACUAAUGAACCGUGAGGCUUAACCUU
rnacentral:rRNA from 1 species